rnacentral:misc_RNA from 1 species
GAAAGUAAAAGUCGUAACAAGGUUUCCGUAGGUGAACCUGCGGAAGGAUCAUUCAUAAUAGGUGUUUUAUGGCACUUUUUAAAUCCAUAUCCACCUUGUGUGCAAUGUCAGUCGUUCUCUUCUAUGGGAACGACCAAACAUCAACCAACUCUUUAACUCUUUGUCUGAAUAAUAUUACGAAUAAAAUAAUUCAAAAUACAACUUUCAACAACGGAUCUCUUGGCUCUC